rnacentral:rRNA from 1 species
UGGGGAAUAUUGGACAAUGGGCGAAAGCCUGAUCCAGCAACGCCGCGUGGAGGACGAAGGCCUUCGGGUCGUAAACUCCUGUCAGUUGGGACGAAAAGUCGUCGGUCAAUAGCCGGCGAUCAUGACGGUACCAGCAGAGGAAGCCCCGGCUAACUCCGUGCCAGCAGCCGCGGUAAUACGGAGGGUGCAAACGUUGUUCGGAAUUAUUGGGCGUAAAGAGCAUGUAGGCGGUCUGUCAAGUCUGAUGUGAAAGCCCGGGGCUCAACCCCGGAAGUGCAUUGGAAACUGGCAGACUUGAGUAUGGGAGAGGAAAGUGGAAUUUCGAGUGUAGGGGUGAAAUCCGUAGAUAUUCGAAGGAACACCAGUGGCGAAGGCGGCUUUCUGGACCGAUACUGACGCUGAGAUGCGAAAGCGUGGGGAGCAAACAGGAUUAGAUACCCUGGUAGUCCACGCCGUAAACGAUGGGUACUAGGUGUUGCGGGUAUUGACCCCUGCAGUGCCAAAGCUAACGCAUUAAGUACCCCGCCUGGGGAGUACGGCCGCAAGGCUAAAACUCAAAGGAAUUGACGG